AGUUUGGACGCGGCAGUCCAGAGGGAAGGACGCACUUAUACUUCUCUCGUGCAUACCAUCCAGUCACUAUGCAUUUUGUUAAUAUAAAUAGCUGUGUGCUUACUCUGGGGUGAACCUGGUACUGGCUUUUUCUGAGGUCCCUUUUGCCAGCCAUUGUAUAAACCACUUUCAUCGAUGGUGGCCGAAUAUUGGUGAAGUCUUAUGUAGACUAAGUGGCCAGUAGAGAACAUUGUUAACAGGAGGACCUUACCAGUCAAUUCUUGUCAAGACCAAGUGGCAAUAGACUACAGUAAAGGACCUUACCAGUUCCCUUACUAGGACAAUUACUUUCAAUAUGUAUCAAUUCAAACUAUAUUAAAUAUGUAAAAACAAUGU
rnacentral:sRNA from 1 species